CCUUUCAUACCAAUGGCUGCUAAACACAAACAUGUUUGGCUUCAUCUGGGAACACUGAUGUGAACAGAAUACAUUCCUCCUCUAUGCAGGCACAGGAAUGAAGAUGGAAAUUUAACGCAAAGCAUCCUGGUCCUUGCUCAUUAUGAUUCUGUAAAGUCCUGCCAUUUAGGAAAUGUGUCUCAAUUUCUGUGGAGAUGAAGCAGGAAGGUCAGACUGAGCUUUAAUCAAGUGCCUGAAGCCAUGUCAGGGUCUGGCCAUGGCUGCUAUUCACUUAAUCCCUGAAGCCCAGUGAGUAUACUGAUAUUGUCAUUGACAAUUUACUCUUGCGGUAUUUUUCUGCUAAACUGAGAGGGAUUUUGUCACUGGUGCACUAUCAAAAAUACAUGAAGGACUUGCCCCUUAUUAAGAGAUGCCAUGUCAGUUGAGGUCACAUUUAUAAUGAAACCCCAGCAAUGAGGAGUCUCCAUCCCUCACAGGAAACAAGGAAAAAAGCAGAACUCUUAAAUUGCUCUAUGCUGCAAGGAGGAUUAGCCUCCUCCUGGGGAAAAUGUAGUGGGCUGUCAUGCCAUUUUGUUCAAAGGAUUUCCCCUUCUUCUCGCUGCCUUGAACUCCUUGUCAUCGUCUCUCCCCUCACCCUGCCCCACCAGCAUCCCCAAUGCACGGGCACGGCCCCCAACCCCUUUGGCAAUCUUCUUCAUCCCUUUUAUUUCAUAAGAAUUUCUUUUCUUUUUCCAGUGUCCUAGAUGCUAUAAUUCAUUCUGCAUUAGGUGGGGAUUACUGAUUGACUCCCGAGAAGUCUGGAAAGUUAGACAUUGAUAAAUCAGGUAGUUCUUGGGUUAAGAAGGGUGUCAUACAUGCUGCCAGACUUGAUACUAGGUAUGCCAGCUAAAUUUUCCUCUUCAAUUUGAAAGUCUCUCAAAUCCCACUGAAGUGGUAGACUAUAUGCAUUAAAAACAAAACUUGAUUGCUGUUCAUCAAGUUUGAAAGAAUAUAGGUUUCCACCCUUGGGCAUUAGACAUAUGAAAUGGUUAUGAGUGGGGCAGCCAACCCUAGACAAAACCAUAGGAAUGGGAAUCCUGUCACUGCCCCCUCCGCCACAAUUACCCUUGUCAGCCCCCUCUCCCGAGGCACCUUUUCUUCCCCAUUCUUCCUCUGGCUGGCUAUCUGUUGCCAGUUAAGGGAUUAUUAACGUUAUUUUAAAUUGGAAACAUUUUCAGACAGGUUUGCAACUGAAAAGUGAGAAUCAAGAAAGUUCUUCCAUAUGGCCUUUGGAAGUCUGCUUACCUGAGUUCUAAAUAAAAUCUCCAAAACAACUUCAAGGAUGUUGUUUGUAAUUAGGGACUUUCAAGGAGGUUAGGAGCUUCUCCAUGUUGUCCUCUUUCUUUACUUUAACAGACUGUUCCUAAUGAAAUACCUGUCCUUUUGCUAAAAUACCUUGAACUAAGAUAUUAAUAUUAAGAGAUUAAGUAACAGUGCUUCAAGAAAUAGAAAAAACCAUUCUGUUAAUGCCACAAAUAUUCCCCUCCCAACUUUUUGGUUGUCAAAAUCACCUGCUCUUACUAGAUAACACCUAGACUUUUCUAAACCAUUUACAAGACACAUUAACAAAGUGUCUUGGAAGCUGUGUCUCACCUCCCAGUUGUCAGCCCGGAGACUGCCCAAUAUCCAAUGUCAAGGGAUGCAAAGUUUGAUUCUUAUCUACAAGUCUUGGCCUUCCUAACCUGAUAACAGCCAUGUUCUCUCUCAAUAUUUAUAUUCUUACAUUUGCUAAGGCUCUUAAUUGAGAGCAACAAAAUCAGGCUUAACAGAAGAAAAUAAAAUUUUUGUUAAGAUGUGAAAGUGUCUUGCAGAAACUAAGGAAGACUUGACCAGCAGACCAAGGUAAGGGCAGAAACUCAGACGGUAGAUGGGCCUCAAGAAUGGCAUUAGGAUCAUGGUAGGUCUCGCACCCCCGUCUCUGCUGUAUAUGUUCUUCAAUCAUAUUCAUUCUCUCUCUCUCCCUCUCUCCUCCCCACCCCUCUCCCCCCGCCCCUGCUUCUCUCUCAACUGGCAUUGUUUUCUCUAUUCCUUAUGGCAGAAAAAUACGAUAACUAAGCGGUCUAAAUUUUAUACAGUAUAGGUCUGUCAUCUUGACAAAGACAGAAUCAUCCUCAGAACAAGUUUUAAAAUGCAGACAAAUGCUUUGGCCUAUACAAAUAUCUUAAUUUGGGGAUAUAAAUUGUGUUCAGAAGAUGUACUCAGAUGUUAGUGCACCCUGGAACAUGGUGGCCAAAAAAGGUCAAGAAACGGAAUGAGUACUUGUGAUCAGCUGAAUAAUAAUCACCAAAAAUGUUGUUACCUUAUUUGGCAAAAGUAACUUUGCAGGUGUGAUUAGGUUAAGGCUCUUGAGGUGGGAAGAUUAUCCUGGAUUAUCCACUGUGCCCUAAAGGUAAUCACAAGUGUCCUUAUAAGAGACAGGCAGAGUGAGAUUCAGUUUUAGCAGAGAUGAAAGCAGAAAUUGGAAGGACGUUCUUUGAAGGUGGAGGAAGAAACAACAAGCCAAGCAAUACUGGAGUCUAAAACAUGCAAGGAAACAUAUAUUCCUGGAGUGUGCACAGACCUACUGAUACCUUGAUUUCAGCUUAGCGAAAGCCAUUUCUUUUUUGUUUGUUUUUUGUGAGGCUUUGUUGUUGUUGAUUUUUUCAUGUGAAAGCCAUUUCUGACUCCUGUUCUACAUUACUGUAAAAGAAUAAAUGUGUGUUUUAGGCUAUCAAGUUUGUGGUAUUUUAUUAGAGCAGACAUAGGAACCUAAUUUAGUAAUUCUUUAAAAUACAAGAAUGGGGCCGGGAGUGGUGGCUCACACCUGUAAUCCCAGCACUUUGGGAGGCCAAGGUGGGCGGAUCGCCUGAGGUCAGGAGUUCAAGACCAGCCUGGCCAACAUGGUGAAACCCCAUCUCUACUAAAAAUAUAAAAAUUAGCUGGGUGUGGUGGUGGGUUCCUGUAAUCCCAGCUACUUGGGAGGCUGAGACAGGAGAAUUGUUUGAACCCAGGAGGCAGAGAUUGCUGUGAGCCGAGAUUGUUCCACUGCACUCCAGCCUGGGCGACAGAGUGAGAUUCCAUUUCAAAAAUAAUAAUAAUAAAAUAAAUAAAAUAAAAUAAAAUACAAGAAGGGGUAGCAAUGCCAGGAAGGGAAUUCUUAGUAAGACUCUGAGACCUCAAUACAAAAGACUAUAAAUGGUCACUUGGAAGGAAGUUCAAAGAAAAACCAAGUAUCGGGGGGAAGACCUAAAUAGAGGAAAGAAAGAUAAAUAUAAAGGCUAGAAAGGACACUAAACUGGAAAUUAAGGUUCUGUUCCCAGCUCCCUGACUCAGAUUAUAGUGUAGAAUAGGCCCUCUACCUUCUUAGCCUUUGUCUAUGCACCUUGACAUGAGGGUUUAAGUAACAUAAUCCCAACGGUCCCUGCCGCUUUAAGAUUUCACGAUGCUAAACCUCUGUCUAGAUUUUGGCCUAGAUUUUGCAGUGUUAGCACCUGGGGGCUCUUGAAGUUUACAUUUCUGGUUUUGACAUGGUAGAUAUAUUGACACAAAAUCCAAUACAACUAGAAUGGAAAACCCCCAGAUGGGCAUGUACAAAAUCUCUGAGAUUAUUUAAUAAGAAGGAGAACAAGGGAAACUAAAGGCAAGACCCUUGAGUCAGCUCUGGAAAAAAUUUUCGCAGUGGACUAACAACUGCUUGUAAAAGCAUAUGUGAAUAUUCCUCAAGGAAAUCUGGAGACAGCUCUGCAGAGCUGAAAGUAAAACACAAAUCUAUCAGCACCACUGGAGGGAAAAACACAUUCCCUGGUGAUGACAGAAUUUGUUGGUAUAGAACAAAUAGCACUUUAAAAUAAUAAGGUAAUGUUUAUGUUUGGGGAAAUAAUUUAAAGAUAAACAAAUGUGCCUACAAUUGGUACAUCAGAAUUUAUUUUGCCCUAAAUUCCUCGUCUGUGUUCCUUUUGUUGGCUAAAAUCAUAGCAAUUCUAACAAAAGUUACUAGAUAUUUGAAUCCUUGUAAGUAUGGCCAUAAAUUGUGUUUUAAAAAUCUUCAAAUCGUUUGCAUAGUUCUGUCAUCAUAUGGAAAUGCAAAGAUGUUUGUUCUGUCUUGAAACCGUAAUAAAAAGAAGACAAGCUAUGUGUCCGUUCAGUAUUGCAUUCAGCUGAGUGUAAUAGAACUCAAGCUGUAAUUGUUUAAUGAAAGUGGGUAAACUCUUCUUUGAUUAAAAUCAGUCCAAAUGUAGGCAAUCCAGGGUUAGUCCAAGGAUUUCACAAUGACAUAAGUCUCAACUCCUAUUCUUCUGCUGUCAUCCUCGCAAAUGGAUUUGCUUUACAUUACUGAUCCAUAGCACAAGAUAGCUGCUCCAGCUUCAACUCCCUCUGCAUUCCAAGCAGGAAAAAGAGAUGAAUGCAAAAGGCAAAAGGUUUAUUAAUCCCUUUCAAGAGCUUUCCUCAGAGCAACAUCUACACACAUUACAUUGCUAGAACUAUGUCCCUCUUUACACACCCCCAGUUGCAAAAGAGGCUGGCCAAAGUAAUCUAAAAAAAAAAAAAGGUUGAGUACUUGCUUUCUUAAAAACAUCAGAAUUUGUUUUAGAAACAAAGCACAGGAUAAUGAAUAUUAGGCAGACAACUAAAAUGUCUGUCAAAUUCUUGAAAAAUCGUCAACCAUUUUAUUUGCCUUAAUGAAGUGAUCAUUAGGGCUUCUCUUAUAAUCUUUUUUUAAAGAAGACUUUUAAAGGAAACUUUAGAUUUUAAGAUUAUUUAACUUUUAUUUUAAGUUCAGGGGGACAUGUGCAGGAUGCGCAGGUUACACACAUGAAUGUGUGUCAUGGGGGGUUGCUAUACAGAUUAUUUCAUCACCAAGGUAUUAAAUCUGGUAUCCAUUAUUUAUUUUUCCUGAUCCUUUCCCUCCUCCCACUUUCCACUCUCUGGUAGGCCCCAGUGUGUGUUGUUCCACUCUAUGUGUCUAUGUGUUCUCAUCGUUUAGUUCCCACCUGUAAGUGAGAACAUGUGAUAUUUGGUUUUCUGUUUUUGCGUUAGUUUGCUAAGGAUAAUGGCCUCCAGUUCCAUUCAUGUCCCUGCAAAGGACAUGAUCUCAUUCUUUUUUAUGGCUGCAUAGUAGUCCAUGGUGUAUAUGUACCACAUUUUCUUUAUCCAGUCUAUCAUUGAUGGGCAUUUGGAUUGAUUCCAUGUCUUUGCUAUUGUGAAUAGUGCUGCAAUGAACAUAUGCGUGCAUAUAUCUUUAUAACAGAAUGAUUUGUAAUCCUUUAGGUAUAUAUAUACCUAGUAAUAGGAUUGUUUGGUUGAAUGUUAUUUCUGUCUUGAGGAAUCAUCACACUGUUUUCCACAAUGGUUGAAAUAAUUUACACUUCUACCAACAGUGUGUAACUGUUCCUUUUUCUCCAUAACCUCACCAGCAUGUUAUUUUUUGACUUUUUUAUAAUGGCCAUUCUCACUGGCGUGAGAUGGUAUUUCAUUGUCGUUUGGAUUUGCAUUUCUCUAAUGAUCAAUGAUGUUGAGCUUUUUUUCAUAUGCUUGUUGGCCUCAUGCAUGUCUCCCUUUCACAACUGCCAAAAAAAAAAAAAAAUACCUAGGAAUAUAGAUAACAUGGUAAAUGAAAAGA